UCCAGAUCAAACAGAUUUAAAUUGACCCUCCAGACCACUCACAGGAUCAGACUGUGGGAUAAAUCAGGGGAAGACAAUGUAGCACAACUAAAAGGGCAGAAGACAAAGCUGAAGGCAGAAAUGCCCAGUAGGGAGCAGAACUGGAACACCAUGAGAGAAUGCUGGUGGACUUGCAGCAUGAGAGACCCUGUCUGAGAAGGAGAAGAGUAAGAAAUGAUGUUUGCUGAUAGCUGGGGAAACUAAAGCACCAGUUGUAUCUGCCUAACAGUGACAACUAAAUAAAAACCA